AGGGCACCACCAGGAGUGGAGCCUGCGGCUUAAUUUGACUCAACACGGGAAAACUCACCCGGCCCGGACACCGUAAGGAUUGACAGAUUGAUAGCUCUUUCUUGAUUCGGUGGGUGGUGGUGCAUGGCCGUUCUUAGUUGGUGGAGCGAUUUGUCUGGUUAAUUCCGAUAACGAACGAGACUCUAGCCUGCUAAAUAGGCAGUGGAUCUUUCAGUCCACUGUACUUCUUAGAGGGACAAGCGGCGUUUAGCCGCACGAGACAGAGCAAUAACAGGUCUGUGAUGCCCUUAGAUGUCCGGGGCCGCACGCGCGCUACACUGAAGGAACCAGCGUGUGUCCCUGUCCGGCAGGACUGGGUAAUCCGUUGAACCUCCUUCGUGAUAGGGAUAGGGGCUUGUAAUUGUUCCCCUUGAACGAGGAAUUCCCAGUAAGCGUGAAUCAUCAGUUCACGUUGAUUACGUCCCUGGCCUUUGUACACACCGCCCCGUCGCUACUACUGAUUGGAUGAUUUAGUGAGGU
rnacentral:rRNA from 1 species